UAUAGGAGCAAAUUUUCUCAGCUGGACUCAAAAUCCACUGGACCAUGAUACAGCCUUAAAUUAUCCCUUUGGGGAUUCAUAAAUCUUUGGUUAAUUUGACCAGAGAUCCCCUCCAGGGGGAUAAUACUUCUAAUGGAAUUGACAAAACAAGUGGAAAAUGUCUUUUCCAGUCAGAUUCACACAAUUCCUGACUCAGGAGGAAUGAAGACACAACUGAGAGCUCAAGGAAAGCAGUUCUCUUGAGGUUUCUCAGGAACUGGAAGCUGGAAUAAUCAUCCUAGUCUUCAAAAGGAGAUGCCACAUCUCUCCAGCUUCUCACGAAGUCAUCUGGAGUCAGAAAAACUCUGCAGCUCUCAGUGUUCAGCCUUUGCAUUAGGACUCAUGGGUCUUCAGCCUUUGGGGAAGGCAUGACCCACCAGCACUAUGGCAGAGCCCCUUGAAACACAAGCACGUGUCUCAUCGAAGGAGAAGAGACAAAUCAGUGACUCGAGGAAAGGUUUGUUCGCUCUCUGAGUGAUUUGGGAAGGCAGAGAAGAAUGCUGUUGGGGAGUUCUUGGCACGAAUUUACAGCAUGAAGACAACAGCCUGCAAUGCAAGUUGGGAAAUAUUUAGAAAAUUUGAAAACAGAUUGUGUUAUAUUGUUCCUGUCUCAAACGAUGUGUGGACGGUGUUCACCUCCCUGCAGGAGGGAAGGGGG